UACGUAGGCAGCAAGCGUUGUUCGGAGUUACUGGGCGUAAAGGGUGUGUAGGCGGUUGUUUAAGUUUGGUGUGAAAUCUCCCGGCUCAACUGGGAGGGUGCGCCGAAUACUGAAUGACUAGAGUACGGAAGAGGUGAGUGGAAUUCCUGGUGUAGCGGUGAAAUGCGCAGAUAUCAGGAGGAACACCGAUGGCGAAGGCAGCUCACUGGGACGUUACUGACGCUGAGACGCGAAAGCGUGGGGAGCAAACAGG
rnacentral:rRNA from 1 species